AUACCUGCAACCAAUUUCCUCUCUGUUUCAGAAAAACUUGAUAUGAGAAAACUGGCUGCCAAGAGAUAGAAGAAAGAUGCAAACAAAUUCCAGAUUGACAGACUACAAUUUAUUAAGUAUUUACACACGGAAGUACAUCUUGGGCAGCAGCAAGCAGAAGGAUCCCUGCACACCAAGACAGAUCUUCAGUCUCAACAGAGCUUCUGGAAUCUCAUCUCAUCCACCAGGACCUUUCUGACUAUUCCAGUUCAUUCUGAGCUCUUCUUUCACGGACUGUACCAUCCGUCGGCACUAAAGAGAACAACUCAUAGCUUACAAAGUGCCUCUUCCACAG
rnacentral:lncRNA from 1 species